UAGUCCACGCCGUAAACGAUGAGUGCUAAUUCUGGGAAUUUCCUGGGAUAAAGCUAACGCGUUAAGCACUCCGCCUGGGUAGUACGAUCGCAAGAUUAAAACUCAAAGGAAUUGACGGGGGCCCGUACAAGCGGUGGAGCAUGUGGUUUAAUUCGAUGAUAACCGAAAAACCUUACCAGUUCUUGACAUGUAUGUAGAGAUUCGUGAAAGUGAAUUGCAUUUAGUUGGACAUACACAGGUGUUGCAUGGCUGUCGUCAGCUCGUGUCGUGAGAUGUUGGGUUAAGUCCCUUAACGAGCGCAACCCUUGUCAUUAUUUGCCAGUGAGUUAUGUCGGGAACUAUAAUGAUACUGCUAUUGAAAAAUAGAGGAAGGAGAGGAUGAUGUCAAGUCAUCAUGGCCCUUAUGGACUGGGCUACACACGUGCUACAAUGGAUAAUACAAUGUGUUGCAAUGUGGAAACACUGAGCUAAUCAUAAAAAUUAUUCUCAGUUCGG
rnacentral:rRNA from 1 species